AUUGAACGCUGGCGGCAUGCUUUACACAUGCAAGUCGAACGGCAGCGCGGGCUUCGGCCUGGCGGCGAGUGGCGAACGGGGGAGUAAUGCAUCGGAACGUGCCCAGCAGUGGGGGAUAGCCCGGCGAAAGCCGGAUUAAUACCGGAUACGACCUGAGGGUGAAAGCGGGGGACCGAAAGACCUCGCGCUAUUGGAGCGGCCGAUGUCGGAAUAGCUAGUUGGUGGGGGAAAGGCUUACCAAGGGGGCGAUCCGGCGCUGGGCUGAGAGGACGACCAGCCACACUGGGACGGGGGCACGGCCCAGACUCCUACGGGAGGCAGCAGUGGGGAAUUUUGGACAAUGGGGGCAACCCUGAUCCAGCAAUGCCGCGUGCGGGAAGAAGGCCUUCGGGUUGUAAACCGCUUUUGUUCGGGAAGAAAUCCUCUGGGCUAAUACCCCGGGGGAAUGACGGUACCGGAAGAAUAAGCACCGGCUAACUACGUG
rnacentral:rRNA from 1 species